rnacentral:rRNA from 1 species
AACGGACGCUGGCGGCGUGCCUAACACAUGCAAGUCGUGCGAGAAAGUUCCUUCGGGAGCGAGUAAAGCGGCGCACGGGUGAGUAACACGUAGGUAACCUGCCCCCCAGUCUGGAACAACUAGAGGAAACUCUAGCUAAUGCCGGAUGAGACCACGAUCCCUUCGGGGGUUGCGGCCAAAGAUGGCCUCUACUUGUAAGCUAUCGCUGAGGGAUGGGCCUGCGGGCCAUUAGCUUGUUGGUGAGGUAACGGCUCACCAAGGCUGUGAUGGCUAGCUGGUCUGAGAGGAUGACCAGCCACACUGGGACUGAGACACGGCCCAGACUCCUACGGGAGCAGCAGUGGGAAUAUUGCGCAAUGGGCGAAAGCCUGACGCAGCGACGCCGCGUGGGUGAUGGAAGGCC